AUUGAACGCUGGCGGCAUGCUUUACACAUGCAAGUCGAGCGGCAGCGCGGGGGCAACCCUGGCGGCGAGCGGCGAACGGGUGAGUAAUGCAUCGGAACGUAUCCUCGAGUGGGGGAUAACCCAGCGAAAGUUGGGCUAAUACCGCAUGAGCUCUGAGGAGGAAAGCGGGGGACCUGCGAGGGCCUCGCGCUGGAGGAGCGGCCGAUGUCCGAUUAGCUAGUUGGUGGGGUAAAGGCUUACCAAGGCGACGAUCGGUAGCUGGUCUGAGAGGAUGAUCAGCCACACUGGGACUGAGACACGGCCCAGACUCCUACGGGAGGCAGCAGUGGGGAAUUUUGGACAAUGAGGGCAACCCUGAUCCAGCCAUGCCGCGUGAGUGAAGAAGGCCUUCGGGUUGUAAAGCUCUUUCGGACGGAACGAAAUGGGCGGGACUAAUACUCCUGUCUGAUGACGGUACCGUAAGAAGAAGCACCGGCUAACUACGUG
rnacentral:rRNA from 1 species